rnacentral:siRNA from 1 species
AACCCCUUGUUUACCAGAUCAGC